AGCUACAAGUGGGAAGAUACAGAACACAUAAGAACAGAGAGACAACACAGCCAUGAAUGUCUAAUGCUGGAGAUCUGAACAAUCAUGCUGCUCUUCUUCUCUGUUUUCAUGGCUGUUUCCAGUUUUGGAGAAACUGCUGACAUCAUCAAACAGAACCAAACCAGCAUGUUAGUGAGUGAAGGCAGCAACGCCACACUGUCCUGCACGUAUGGUGGAAAUGUUUACAGUCUCCACUGGUAUCAGCAAAAGCCUGGAUCAAGACCAGAGUUCCUGCUCCUGGUUGAUGAAACCACUCAACACAUAACUAAGGCUGAAACACUUGAGCGAUUGUCCGUCUCACUUAAUAAACAGAGUAAGACGGUUGAUCUGGAGAUCUCCUCUGCUGCAGUAUCAGACUCUGCAUUCUACUACUGCGCCCUGCAGCCCACAUGCUGUGCUCUUACAGAGUGUAACGGAGCUCUCGUCCGUUCCAUGCUGUGA